CGGUAACAGGCCUUCGGGUGCUGACGAGUGGCGGACGGGUGAGUAACGCGUAGGAAUCUGCCCACGGGUGGGGGACAACUCGGGGAAACUCGAGCUAAUACCGCAUAAGCCCUGAGGGGGAAAGCGGGGGAUCUUCGGACCUUGCGCCGGUGGAUGAGCCUGCGUCGGAUUAGCUAGUUGGUAGGGUAAGGGCCUACCAAGGCGACGAUCCGUAGCUGGUUUGAGAGAACGACCAGCCACACUGGGACUGAGACACGGCCCAGACUCCUACGGGAGGCAGCAGUGGGGAAUAUUGGACAAUGGGGGCAACCCUGAUCCAGCAAUGCCGCGUGUGUGAAGAAGGCCUGCGGGUUGUAAAGCACUUUGAGGUGGGAAGAAGGGCUUGGGAUGAAUAAUUUCAGGCAUUGACGUUACCACCAGAACAAGCACCGGCUAACUCCGUGCCAGCAGCCGCGGUAAUACGGAGGGUGCGAGCGUUAAUCGGAAUUACUGGGCGUAAAGCGCGCGUAGGUGGUUUGAAAAGUCUGAUGUGAAAGCCCUGGGCUUAACCUGGGAAUGGCAUUGGAUACUGUCUGACUGGAGUGUGGGAGAGGGGUGUGGAAUUUCCGGUGUAGCAGUGAAAUGCGUAGAGAUCGGAAGGAACACCAGUGGGCGAAGGCGGCACCCUGGACCAACACUGACGCUGAGGUGCGAAAGCGUGGGGGAGCAAACAGGAUUAGAUACCCUGGUAGUCCACGCGGUAAACGAUGUCAACUAGCCGUUGGGGACGCAUAAGUUUUCGGUGGCGCAGCUAACGCGAUAAGUUGACCGCCUGGGGAGUACGGCCGCAAGGUUAAAACUCAAAUGAAUUGACGGGGGCCCGCACAAGCGGUGGAGCAUGUGGUUUAAUUCGAUGCAACGCGAAGAACCUUACCUGGUCUUGACAUGUCGCGAACCCUGCAGAGAUGUGGGGGUGCCUUCGGGAGCGCGAACACAGGUGCUGCAUGGCUGUCGUCAGCUCGUGUCGUGAGAUGUUGGGUUAAGUCCCGUAACGAGCGCAACCCUUGUCCCUAGUUGCCAGCGAGUGGAGUCGGGAACUCUAGGGAGACCGCCGGUGAUAAACCGGAGGAAGGUGGGGAUGACGUCAAGUCAUCAUGGCCCUUAUGGCCAGGGCUACACACGUGCUACAAUGGUUGGUACAGAGGGCAGCGAAGCUGCGAGGUGGAGCAAAUCCCAGAAAACCGAUCUUAGUCCGGAUUGCAGUCUGCAACUCGACUGCAUGAAGUCGGAAUCGCUAGUAAUCGCGAAUCAGAAUGUCGCGGUGAAUACGUUCCCGGGCCUUGUACACACCGCCCGUCACACCAUGGGAGUGGGUUGCACCAGAAGUCGGUAGUCUAACCUUCGGGGGGGCGCU
rnacentral:rRNA from 1 species